CUCAGAUCACUUGGACGUGGCUGUGGUUACAAGAGGUAAAAACGAUAUAAAUACUGUUCGUUUUCUCACAAAAACCGCUCGUUUCGUGUCUUAGGGCAUCAAUGUGUACUUACAUUUAUGAGUCAUUAAAUAAUGUUUAAUUUUGACUGCUCUUUGAGGAGGACCCCCUUCACCUCCAUUGUAUGACUGACAGACAACAACGGUUUUACCUAAAAUUAUCAAAAUUGAAGAUACUGUGGAAACAAAGACACCUACAUCUUGGAUGCACUGGAGAUGCAGUUCAGAGAAACCCUCUCAUGGCUAAUGUUGCUGAAAUGGAGAUCGAGGGAUCCAUGAACUGGCAGCAGAUCCAGGGGCAGACACAAGAUAAGUUUAAAUCUAUAUUAAAAACACAACUCUUUAACCUAGCAUAAACAUAACACACUCCCACAUUUCUAUAAUUCACAUCCGGUAAGGUAGCUUACACCAAAUGUAUUUGUUACAUCGUAAAAAGAAUGGCAUCUAUGCUAAUGUUAGUCUCUCUGUCUCAUUCUUAUCCCAAGGUUAGGCUACUGUUGUCAGCCGGAUCUAGUCUGCAUCCAGACCAGAUGGUGGACCUGCACCCUAAGAUGACCACAACAGCCUAAAUGCCAGACGAGAACAUCACAACUAGACAAGACCUAGAAACAAACGCCUGUGAAGACCUCGUUGACACAACAGUCCUCGGCACAGUCAUCGAAUCAGAUCCACGAGAAACAGACCAGUUCUCCACACAGACCCAACGGCCAGCUUCAACUCCCCUCUCACCGACGCCGGCGUGAUCUUAUGAAGCAAAAGGAGCUGAAUAAAAUACUCUGAAUGAUAUCAAUCCACAAUCUGACUUGUGAAGCAGCCUGGAACCCUAACACACACCAUGUUCGUUGUUUGGCCAGAGGAGAACUGGACCCCCGACUGAGCCUGGUUUUACUUUCUUCGUUUUGUCACUGAUGGAGUUUGGGUUCUUGCCACUGUCACCUCUGGCUUGCUUAGUUGGGGACACUUAUUCUUAAUAUUACUGAUCGGCCGGCAUUGACACCAUUAUAUGAGAACUGAACUGAGCUGGACGAUGACAUCACUGUUUUCUGCAGAGCUGCUUAAUAAUGAAAAUGGACUCUUUUUAUAAUUGAUAUACUUUAUACAGUUAUUGAACAGA